CCUACGGGAGGCAUCACUAGGGAAUCUUCCACAAUGGAAGAAAGUNUGAUGGAGCAACGCCGCGUGAGUGAUGAAGGCCUUCGGGUCGUAAAAUUAUGUUGUNGAGAAGAACCGUUGAGAGUAACUGCUCAUGCAGUG
rnacentral:rRNA from 1 species